GCACGAAGUCCCAGCCGGAGGAGAAGCGGCGGUGGUCCAGGCCCCAGGACAGAGCUGACACGGCAGGGGCCCCUGAGGGCCAUCCUGAGAGAGGCACGUUCCCCGCAAUGUUCCUCUCGAUCUGAGAGACGGCCGAAGAGACGUCUACUCAGGAGGAAGAGCCAAUGAGUGCCGUUGUGGGGCGUGGUCACGUUAGCCACGCCCGCUUCUGCAGGCCGGGGGCGGGGUUUAACGCCACGUGAGCGCAAUCCCAGACGGACGCGGACACGCCCAGCCUCGCGCUGUAAUCCUGCCGGAUCCGGAAGUCCAGCCCGUGGACUCUGUAGGUGUUUUCUGCGCCGAACGUCUCCUCGAACAGACCGUCUUCUGCGGGGAACACGUGC